rnacentral:rRNA from 1 species
CUACGGGGCGCAGCAGUGGGGAAUUUUGCGCAAUGGGCGAAAGCCUGACGCAGCAAUACCGCGUGAGUGAAGAAGGCCUUUGGGUCGUAAAGCUCUUUUAUUGGGGAAGAUAGUGACGGUACCCAAUGAAUAAGCACCGGCUAACUCCGUGCCAGCAGCCGCGGUAAUACGGAGGGUGCAAGCGUUGUUCGGAUUUACUGGGCGUAAAGGGCACGUAGGCGGCAUAGCAAGUUAAGGGUGAAAUCCCGGGGCUCAACUCCGGAACUGCUCUUAAAACUGCUAAGCUAGAGAUAGUCAGAGGCGGGUAGAAUUCCUGGUGUAGAGGUGAAAUUCGUAGAUAUCAGGAGGAAUACCGGAGGCGAAGGCGGCCCGCUGGGGCUAUUCUGACGCUAAGGUGCGAAAGCGUGGGGAGCGAACGGGAUUAGAUACCCGCGUAGUC